rnacentral:lncRNA from 12 species
CGCGUUGCUCCCGCGGGAAAUCAGGCUGUGCCACCCUGCCUGCCCGUUGGCUUAUACAUUUCCAGAGAGGCAGAGAGGAGCCCUAUGUGCCCACUGCACUUUGUAGUUGGGUCCACCCUUUCUUUCCCUCCUUCCCCUGUGAUAGGCUUCCCGAGGCCCGGGCUCCACUGUCCACCCCCUGAUCCAGGCAGGGCGCUCCCGCCAACACUGGGAGCUGGGCUGGGAACACAGGCCCCUCUCCUUACAACUCAUUGAAACCUCUUUUAGUUACCUCCCUAAUUGCAAUAGUCUUAUGUGUCUGGCCUAAAUCAUAACCGCCCUCUUAAAAAGAAAUCCCACAGCCGACAGCUGCGGAUAUCACCAUUAAAUCCUAUCUAUUAAGAGCUAAUGCCACACAAUGUAUUUUUUCCAACAAGGGUCAAUCUGUUUGCCUCAGCCGGAGAGGGGGUCAUGAUGGUCAGCUCAGCACUGACACACCAAGCGUUCCAAACCGAUAUGUCAGAAUCAAGAUAUGCAGGAUUUCCUCUUCAUGAACUCUACAUGCUUCUAGUGCUUUUAACUGACCUUCCAGGAGAAUUCCGGAGUCCAGUGGCUUGAAGGCAAGAUCUCUGGUCUUCCAUGAGAGCAAGAGAACCAAGAACACCUGCUCCUUGAUAGGUUGACCACAGAGAAUCAGUGACUUCUUGAAGGUCACUUUUAUUGCUUUAAGUCAGGCUCAAGAUUUUCUGUCUGAGAAAGUACAGCAAUGACAUCUGUUCAUUCUUCAACAUAGACCAGCCCUUUACCCAUGAUUUUUCAAUAUUUAAACAAACAGCCAAAACAAAGCUGUGCAUCAGUGUUAACCUUGUAAACUUAAAAGUCUGCACCUGUACAAUUACUAAUUAGCAUGUUCAGUAACAAAGCUGGUAGGUAACGGGUGACAUUCACACCUCUUAAUUGGUGCGAUUAGCGGUCCUUUUGUUGUCAACCAUUAGCAGCUCUCCUCAAGUGUAAAAUACCACAGGUAAAGGGACAUUGGCAAUGGGUGGAGUGGAGGGGGGUAAGUGAGAGUGAAUAAAAGUUUGUAAAACAGAUUAGGCUGAUUUAGA